rnacentral:lncRNA from 1 species
GAUGCAGGCUGGACAGAUGAGUUUUUUUUAGAUGAGGUUUUGUUGGGAAGGAACUGCACGUUUAACUUUAUCUUAACCGUCUGCUUAUACUGGCUGUGCUUUGCUGAAAUGAAGAGCGCUAUUUCCUGCCCAGGUCCAGGUCAGAAAGCUAACGUCCAACAAGAAAGUGGAUUUGUUGCGUUUGCUGUACCUUAGCACAUCCUGCUGGUGAUAAAAACAUUUGGAGAACUGCUUGAACAAUUCUCACUCGUGCGAUGCUGUGGGACUUGCUCAUGACCUGCCUCUUGAGAAGGCAAAGAACGGCUCAGCUGCGGUCCCAGCUCCAUCAACUUGGGGCAUGUGGGGCCCCUUACCUGUUGUGCAUGUCUCAGGCCCGCCCUUCUGCCCUUCCUUUGCCUGCUACGCAUUCAAACGAUAACUCUUUACAUCAUACUCAGAAGAGGAGGAGGAGCAUAGGGAGGAGAAUGACUUGAGUUGCUACUAUGUGAAUGCAGACGUAUCCAAGCAGGAGCAUUGUAGGUCCGAGGGGCUUCCAGAGACGUGGGAAACCCACAGGAGCAUCACAGCAGUGUGUCUGCUGCAAAGACUUCUCUCCCCACGAACUCCUCUGUUAUUCAUUCGUGCUGCAGUUUCAGUGACUGGUGGAUAAGGUAUGCUAUAAAUACGUACCAGCUUCUAUCUGCCGAGGCCUUCUAUACUGUGGGGAAAAAUGCACGAAAAAGCUGCUUGAAGCCAGCCUUCUCUUCCAUACCUGUUUGAAGAAAGCUAGCCUGGGAGCACAGUGCCCCCAGCCUCCCCACACUGACAGGCAUGCAGCAUCCCCUG